AUUGAACGCUGGCGGAAUGCUUUACACAUGCAAGUCGAACGGCAGCACGGACUUCGGUCUGGUGGCGAGUGGCGAACGGGUGAGUAAUGUAUCGGAACGUGCCCAGUCGUGGGGGAUAACGUAGUGAAAAUUACGCUAAUACCGCAUACGAUCUAUGGAUGAAAGCGGGGGAUCGCAAGGCCUCGCGCGAUUGGAGCGGCCGAUAUCAGAUUAGGUAGUUGGUGGGGAAAAGGCCCACCAAGCCAACGAUCGGUAGCUGGUCUGAGAGGACGCACAGUCACACGGGAACUGGGACACGUGCAAGACUCUUCUGGGAGGCGGCAGGGGGGAAUUUUUGACAAUGGGCGAAAGCCUGAUCCAGCCAUUCCGCGUGCAUGAUGAAGGCCCUCGGGUGGUAAACUGCUUUUGUACAGAACGAAAAGGUUUCUACUAAUACUAGGAGCUCAUGACGGUACUGUAAGAAUAAGCACCGACUAUCUACGUGCCAGCCGCCGCCGUAA
rnacentral:rRNA from 1 species